rnacentral:rRNA from 1 species
CCUACGGGAGGCUGCAGUGAGGAAUAUUGGUCAAUGGACGAGAGUCUGAACCAGCCAAGUCGCGUGAAGGAUGACUGCCCUAUGGGUUGUAAACUUCUUUUAUAUGGGAAUAAAAUGUUCCACGUGUGGGAUUUUGUAUGUACCAUAUGAAUAAGGAUCGGCUAACUCCGUGCCAGCAGCCGCGGUAAUACGGAGGAUCCGAGCGUUAUCCGGAUUUAUUGGGUUUAAAGGGAGCGUAGGUGGAUUGGUAAGUCAGUGGUGAAAGUUUGCGGCUCAACCGUAAAGUUGCCGUUGAACCUGGCAGUCUGGAGUGCAGUAGAGGUAGGCGGAAUUCGUGGUGUAGCGGUGAAAUGCUUAGAUAUCACGAAGAACUCCGAUUGCGAAGGCAGUUCACUGGACUGCAACUGACACUGAGGCUCGAAAGUGUGGGUAUCAAACAGGAUUAGAUACCCUAGUAGUC